UAUAUAUAUAUAUAUAACUGCAGCUUCGGCUGGCAUAUAUACAUAAGAAGGUGGGGUGCUGAGCAGGAUGGAGAAGCAGGGCACGUGCAUUCAUGGACAUGUAUAUCAUCUUGAUCAUAUGACUUAUAAUUAUCCUGCAGUUAGGUGGCUAGCUCUAGGUGAUCUUUCAUUCAGCUCAUCCUAAUCUAAUUAGAUUUUCUUAUAUGGGUGUGCCUAAUCACAUUGAAUUAGUAGUGCUUCAUGCAUGUGCCCUUCUUCCCCAUCAUGACCACUCCACCUUACAAACGACAAGACAAGCUUGCAGCUUAAUGAUAUCGAUCGGCUUCCAAGCAGCUGGAAGUUAAUUCACAUCACGUGUAGCCAAAUCAAAGCUUCAUUUUCAGAUGGGAAUUAAUGGAGAAGCGAAGCGGCCAACUUUAAUCGAAAAACAAAAGGUUUGUACGGUGGAAUGCAUGCGAUUUAUAAGCUUCCAGAAUAUGGUUUUGAGGGUUUCCUUUUUCUGUAGUAAUUAGAUAAGCAUGCAUAUUGGUGUCAUGUAGGUCUCUGGAUGAUUUUCUAAGCUGCAUCCUGAGGAAGUUACAUAUGUUAUAUAUAAGAUUUUAGCUUACUUCUGGUUC